AUUUAAAGGGCCGCGGUAUUUUGACCGUGCAAAGGUAGCAUAAUCAUUAGUCUUUUAAUUGAGGGCUGGAAUGAAUGGUUUGACGAAAUAUUGACUGUCUCUUUAUAAUAAGUAGAAUUUAACUUUUGAGUCAAAAGGCUUAAAUAAUAAUAAAAGACGAGAAGACCCUAUAGAUCUUUAUAUGAGGAUACAUUUAUUUCAUUUAGAUGGUGUUUUAAUAGGUGAAAUUAUCAUAUUUUGUUGGGGUGACAUGAAGAUGUAAGUAACUCUUUAUUAUGGAAACAUUGAUUUAUGGACAAUUGAUCCG
rnacentral:rRNA from 1 species